rnacentral:rRNA from 1 species
AGUCGUGGCAAGAGCGUAGCGGACCCACCCAGAACCAUCCCGAACCUGGCAGUGAAACGCUACAGCGCUGACAAUAGUGAGCCCGCAGGGGCUUGUGAAGAUAGGCCGCUGCGGCUU